UAGGGAAUCUUCGGCAAUGGGGGGAACCCUGACCGAGCAACGCCGCGUGAGUGAAGAAGGUUUUCGGAUCGUAAAGCUCUGUUGUUAAGGAAGAACGAGUGUGAGAAUGGAAAGUUCAUGCUGUGACGGUACUUAACCAGAAAGGGACGGCUAACUACGUGCCAGCAGCCGCGGUAAUACGUAGGUGGCAAGCGUUGUCCGGAUUUAUUGGGCGUAAAGCGAGCGCAGGCGGUCAAUUAAGUCUGAUGUGAAAGCCCCCGGCUCAACCGGGGAGGGUCAUUGGAAACUGGUUGACUUGAGUGCAGAAGAGGAGAGUGGAAUUCCAUGUGUAGCGGUGAAAUGCGUAGAUAUAUGAGGAACACCAGUGGCGAAGGCGACUCGCUGGUCUGUAACUGACGCUGAGGCUCGAAAGCGUGGGUAGCAAACAGG
rnacentral:rRNA from 1 species